AGAUUGAACGCUGGCGGCAGGCCUAACACAUGCAAGUCGAGCGGCAGCACGGGUACUUGUACCUGGUGGCGAGCGGCGGACGGGUGAGUAAUGCCUAGGAAUCUGCCUGGUAGUGGGGGGAUAACGCUCGGAAACGGACGCUAAUACCGCAUACGUCCUACGGGAGAAAGCGAGGGGACCUUCGGGCCUUGCGCUAUCAGAUGAGCCGUAGGUCGGAUUACGCUAGUUGGUGAGGUAAGUGGCUCACCGAAGGCGACGAUCCGUAACUCGGUCUGAGAGGAUGAUCACGUACACACGUAGGAACUAGAGACGUACCGGU
rnacentral:rRNA from 1 species